rnacentral:rRNA from 1 species
CGCUCCUUGAUUUUAAUUAAUAAGGAGUCGGACCUGCCCAGUGAUAAGUAUUUAACGGCCGCGGUACUCUGACCGUGCAAAGGUAGCAUAAUCAUUUGCCCUAUAAUUGAGGGCUAGUAUGAAUGGUUUGACAAGAACAAUACUGUCUCUUUCAAAAUUUCUAGAAUUUAUUCUUUAGGUGAAGAAACCUAAAUAAAAUUAAAAGACAAGAAGACCCUAUCGAGCUUAAACUCUUUUUAUAAAAUAAAAAAAAUUAAUAAUAUUUUUUGUUAUAAAAAAUUUUGGUUGGGGCGACUAAGGAACAAAAAAAGCUUCUUUAUUUAAUAAAGACAAGUGUGUAUUGAUCCAUAAAAUCUUGAUUAAAAGAAUUAGUUACCGUAGGGAUAACAGCAUAAUCUUUUUUAAGAGUUCUUAUCGAAAAAAAGGUUUGUGACCUCGAUGUUGGACUAAAAUUUCCUAAUAGAUGCAGACGUCUUUAAGGG